AGAUCUUUAUGGUAUGGCAAAGUCUUUCAUCAGCCGAUGGUAUAAUGGACUACCAGUUGGAUGAUAUACAGUCAUCUGAAACAUGAUAUAUACUUCUCCUCUCCCGUGUCCAUGGUUUAUUUAAUCUGGAAAGCAAUUGUGGGAACAAUUGUUUCAAGCCUUGUUUUAAGAGAAAUAAAAAUCAUAAUCAGUCUUGAAGCAUCUUUGUCUACUUGGAAACAAAA
rnacentral:lncRNA from 12 species